rnacentral:lncRNA from 1 species
GCGCCGCCGCCGCUGGGUGUUUCAGAAAAUGCCUCCAAUAAGGCCCUUCUUGAUUCCCGUUCGAUGUGAUUUUUCCACCGUUGUGACCAUCGUUUCUUUCUCUAUAGGUUGACCGAAGCAAAACACCGAACCACAACAUAAGUCAGAGGAGACGCCGCACUAGAGAGCCCCACCGCCGGUGAGUUUCGAUUUUCUGCAUUUUUUUGGCCCACCGAGGGCCCUAUGUGUGUUUUCUCGCAAGUGCCGGUUCAAGUUCGGUUGAAUUCAGCCCAAAACGGUCAAAAAUAGCCAACCCGAGGUGGAUCGCUGCUGCGAGCGGCGGCGCCAUCAUCGGAGUACGGCGAAGUUGCCGUGUCAGAAUUCUGAAAUUGGCUGAAUAGGCCAAUUUUUGGGUUAUUUGGGACACUUGUAGGUACUGUAAG